rnacentral:lncRNA from 1 species
CUUCAAUUUAAGAAAAAAUUCUGAUUAAAAAUUCAGCAAUAACAUUUUAGAAAUUUUUCAGAAUAAAAAUGGAAAUGGCAUUAGUAUGUUAAAGUUUUAUAAAUAUAAGGUUUAUAUAAGGGGAAAACCAAAAAGUUCUUAUCCUCAGCAUGACAGAUAUGAUAGGAAUCUGAAAUUUAGUCCUCCAACUCUUUCUUCCCUAUAUGUCCAUCUUAUAGGGCUACACAUUCUCACAUCUGUGGAACAGUUGUUUAAUCCCAUCUUUGUAGAAGUUGGCGGAUUUGGAGGUAAGCCAGUAUUGAAGAAACUUCUUCCCCCAUAAAUAUUUUUUCAUAUUUCAAAACAGAAGUCUGAAAGUGCCGUGUUGGGAGAAUAUGAAGGAAG